AGAGAGAGACAUGCGCGCAUAUCAAUAAGCGGAGGAAAAGAAACUAACAAGGAUUCCCUUAGUAACGGCGAGUGAAAGCGGGAAGAGCUCAAAUUUGAAAUCUUCAAGGUUUUACCUUGACGAAUUGUAGUUUAAAGAAGUGUUUUCUGCUGAAGUUUUGGUAAAAGUUCUUUGGAAUAGGGACAUCAUAGAGGGUGAGAAUCCCGUAUUUGACCAUUAUUUUCAGCUUUGUGAUACACUUUCAAAGAGUCGGAUUGUUUGGGAAUGCAGUCCAAAAUGGGUGGUAAAUUUCAUCUAAAGCUAAAUAUUGGCGAGAGACCGAUAGCGAACAAGUACCGUGAGGGAAAGAUGAAAAGAACUUUGAAAGAGAGAGUUAAACAGUACGUGAAAUUGUCAAAAGGGAAGCGUUUGACACCAGUGUUGUUUUCUCGAAAAUCAAUUAAAAAUGGCUCGAUUUUGUAUUGCUGAGACCUUAAAAGCUCACUGUACAUUUUUCGUGUCUUUUUUAAUGCACUUUUCGUUUAACAAGUCAACAUCAGUUUCUUUUGUUGUAAAAGGGUCAUUGGAAGGUGGCUUUCUUUUCGGAGAAAGUGUUUAUAGCCUUUGGCCUCUGCAAUCGGAGAGACUGAGGUCUGCAGCGUAGACUCUUCGGGGUUAGAUACAUUUGUGCUAAGUUAUAGCUUUUUAUAGACAACUUGCUGACUAUAAUUAGUCUUGUAGCUUACUCGCUUAUGCUAUUUUACCUACGCUUAGGAUGUUGAAGAUGUAGCACAUCAU
rnacentral:rRNA from 1 species